rnacentral:rRNA from 1 species
GACAGAGGGUGCAAACGUUGUUCGGAAUUCCUGGGCGUAAAGCGCACGUAGGCGGAUCGUUCAGUCGGGGGUGAAAUCCUGGGGCUCAACCCCAGAACUGCCUUCGAUACUGGCGAUCUAGAGUCCGGAAGAGGUGAGUGGAACUCCUAGUGUAGAGGUGGAAUUCGUAGAUAUUAGGAAGAACACCAGUGGCGAAGGCGGCUCACUGGUCCGGUACUGACGCUGAGGUGCGAAAGCGUGGGGAGCAAACAGG